GGCUCCAUAGUGCAGUGGUUAGCACGUCUGCUUUACAUGCAGAAGGUCCUGGUUUCACGCCCCGGGUGGAGUCA
rfam:Pteropus alecto contig57306, whole genome shotgun sequence.